rnacentral:rRNA from 1 species
UACAGAGGUCCCAAGCGUUGUUCGGAUUCACUGGGCGUAAAGGGUGCGUAGGUGGCAAGGCAAGUCGGAUGUGAAAUCUUCAAGCUCAACUUGGAAACUGCAUUGGAAACUGCUUUGCUUGAGGAUUUGAGGGGGGAUUGGAAUACUUGGUGUAGCAGUGAAAUGCGUAGAUAUCAAGUGGAACACCAGUGGCGAAGGCGAAUCCCUGGAAAAUACCUGACACUGAGGCACGAAAGCUAGGGGAGCAAACAGG